CUGUUUUCACCUGGGAUCCUACAGCUAGGGAAGGCCUGAGCCUCGGAACCGGGGUGAUGGCAACACCUGGCAAACACUUCUGGUGGGAAGCACGUUAGCGCAGUGUUUUGUCUGGCGGUACCUAAAUGGCUUUAACAGCCUGCCUUCUAGCUGCUUAGCUGUUUUCUGCCCAAAUUAUGUUUUCAGCAUGUGAGUAGUUUGCUGGCUGUAAGCCUUCUAGGUCCCAGCAAAGUAUUCUAUCAUGCAUCAUCUGUAUGUCCCUGCUGGUUUUUCCUUGAAUGCCUCGGUACAUCCUCAGCCUGGAUCUAGGCUAAAGCAGAGCCUGCAAAGCCCUUCUGAUGGAGCUCCGCAGGAUUUGGAAGCAGCCUCACCUGUCAAUGAGCCAGCAAGGGAUUCAUCACGGGAUCCCUCUCAGCAAUGCUGCAUGAGAAGAAGAUCCACGCCUGUCCCUGCAGAUGUGCUCCAGACGUUGCAUCUCUCCACUGCUAGCUCGGGAUGCCACUUUCCCUUGUUGUGCUUGCAAAGUGCACAAAAACCCUAACCUGCUCCAGCAGCCUCGCACUACCACCGCGUGCGGCACCGCUCGCCGUUAUUAGUAUGGCAAACGGAACAAUAUUGAUUCAGAGGAUUUGUGGUUUACCAGCAUCGUUUCCCUGUUAGCCUUCACACCGACUCAUGAAUACACAUGAAGACCCAAAUAGUUUAAGGAGUGUGAGCAUGUGAGAGCUAUUUGUUUCUGUUGGCCCCACUGCUCCCACAGGGCCACAUCCAGCACCCACGGGGACCUUCAGUGCUACCUGGAUCGUGGCCACCAAGCCCUUGUUUUUGGAGGCCUCCAUCUGCCUUUGGAGCCCAGGCCUUGCACAAUCUCCUUUAUCUCAGCGUGUGGUUGGAGGGUAACAGGCUGCCUGGCUCUUGACAGGUCAUCUAUUAAAUAUAGAUGGUGCUUUCACAUGCAAUUGUCUGCCGGAUUAUUAUUUUUUUUGGAGGAACAAAAGGCUCCCAUUCACAAGCUCCAGCAUGUCAUGCAGAUAUGAUUAAAAACAUUACGGCAUCAAGAUA
ensembl:lncRNA